CACAGCACCUAGGAUGAGGGGGUUUGAGAGAAGAGGCAUGGUUUUGCAUCAAGCCUUGUCAACGCUGUCCCCUACUGUACCCAGUCUCAACCAUCCCCACCCAUCUUUAUUUUUUUAAUGAUUUACUUAUUUAUUAUAUAUACAGUGUUCUGCCUGCAUGUAUCCUACACACCAGAAGAGGGCACCAGAUCUCAUUACAGAUGGUUAUGAGCCACCAUGUGGUAGCUGGGAACUGAACUCAGGACCUCUGGAAAAGCAGCCAGUGCUCUUAACCUCUGAGCCGUCUCUCCAGCCCCCCACCCAUCUUCUUGGUUCCUCCGAGUCUAAUGAAAUUCUGCUCUUUGCUUCCACCCAGCUCUGAGACCAUGUCUUCCAGAAGCUUCCAUCCUCUAGCUAUGCUCCAGUACCUUUACAGCCCUCUUAGGACUCAGUGUUGGCUUCAGCUCCCUUGGAUGACCCUGAUUUAGGAGCAGUCUACCUUUUCCUCAUGGCCUCAACAGAAGGACACACUCUGCCACCUAUAUUUGCUCUGGGUUGGCAUUGUCCAUGCCCAGUACAGACAGGAGGUGGCCCUGGGCUCACAGGAGAGCCUUCCCUGCCUUGAUCAGCAUGAUGAUGAUGUGGACUUGCUGCUCCCAUACCAGCCUCCAGAAGUCCUCUACCGUCUUCUUGAGCGGCCCCUGAGUGGCGAUGAACUCCUGUGGGUGGCUGUAGCCCUAAGGUGUGAGGUACAUGUUACCAGACAUGUUACCAUCAAACUUUCAGCAGUGGAUAUGAUCAUAUAUGACCCACAGGAACCGUGAUCAUGGAGGGUGAUCUGCCACCACCCAUGUCCCAUUUGGAAGGGGUAAGAAAAACAUUCAUGAAAAUACAAGAUUCUAACAUGCUCGAAACAGUCCACCCAGUCACCCUCUUCACUAAGCUUGCUAUGACUUUGUUAUUUAGAGACAGUGAUUUAUUAUGUAGCCCAGGCUGUCCUUAAACUUCUAAUUCUCUUGCUUCAGUCUCCUAUGUGCCAGAAUUUCAGGUGUGUGUCACCAUGCCUAGCUCCAGAGCGACCUUCCUAAAACUAAAUUGUGUGUGCAUUAUAUGGGCAAAUAUACAUAUGUGUAUGUGUGUGUAAAUAUAUAUAUAAUAUACUCAA